AGUGAACGCUGGCGGUAGGCCUAACACAUGCAAGUCGAACGGCAGCACAGUAAGAGCUUGCUCUUACGGGUGGCGAGUGGCGGACGGGUGAGGAAUACAUCGGAAUCUACCUUUUCGUGGGGGAUAACGUAGGGAAACUUGCGCUAAUACCGCAUACGACCUACGGGUGAAAGCAGGGGAUCUUCGGACCUUGCGCGAUUGAAUGAGCCGAUGUCGGAUUAGCUAGUUGGCGGGGUAAAGGCCCACCAAGGCGACGAUCCGUAGCUGGUCUGAGAGGAUGAUCAGCCACACUGGAACUGAGACACGGUCCAGACUCCUACGGGAGGCAGCAGUGGGGAAUAUUGGACAAUGGGCGCAAGCCUGAUCCAGCCAUACCGCGUGGGUGAAGAAGGCCUUCGGGUUGUAAAGCCCUUUUGUUGGGAAAGAAAAGCAGCAGGUUAAUACCCCGCUGUUCUGACGGUACCCAAAGAAUAAGCACCGGCUAACUUCGUG
rnacentral:rRNA from 1 species